GACGGAGGAUGCGAGCGUUGUUCGGAGUCAUUGGGCGUAAAGGGUGCGUGGGCGGCUGGUCAAGUCUGGGGUUAAAGCCCAGAGCUUAACAGCGGGGGGGCCUUGGAAACUGAGCGGCUGGAGUGGGGCAGAGGUUGGGGGAAUUCCCGGUGUAGCGGUGAAAUGCGUAGAUAUCGGGAAGAACACCUGUGGCGAAGGCGCGCAACUGGACCCCUACUGACGCUGAGGUACGAAAGCUAGGGGAGCGAAUGGG
rnacentral:rRNA from 1 species